rnacentral:rRNA from 1 species
AACGAACGCUGGCGGCAGGCCUAACACAUGCAAGUCGAGCGAACCCUUCGGGGUUAGCGGCGGACGGGUUAGUAACGCGUGGGAAUAUGCCCAAAGGUACGGAAUAGCCUCGGGAAACUGAGAGUAAUACCGUAUGUGCCCUUCGGGGGAAAGAUUUAUCGCCUUUGGAUUAGCCCGCGUUGGAUUAGGUAGUUGGUGGGGUAAUGGCCAACCAAGCCGACGAUCCAUAGCUGGUUUGAGAGGAUGAUCAGCAACACUGGGACUGAGACACGGCCCAGACUCCUACGGGAGGCAGCAGUGGGGAAUCUUAGACAAUGGGGGAAACCCUGAUCUAGCCAUGCCGCGUGGACGAUGAAGGCCUUAGGGUUGUAAAGUCCUUUCAGCUGGGAAGAUAAUGACGGUACCAGCAGAAGAAGCCCCGGCUAACUCCGUGCCAGCAGCCGCGGUAAUGUAGACGU